rnacentral:rRNA from 1 species
GAUGAACGCUAGCUACAGGCUUAACACAUGCAAGUCGAGGGGCAGCAUUUCAGUUUGCUUGCAAACUGGAGAUGGCGACCGGCGCACGGGUGAGUAACACGUAUCCAACCUGCCGAUAACUCGGGGAUAGCCUUUCGAAAGAAAGAUUAAUACCCGAUGGUAUAAUUAGACCGCAUGGUCUUGUUAUUAAAGAAUUUCGGUUAUCGAUGGGGAUGCGUUCCAUUAGGCAGUUGGUGAGGUAACGGCUCACCAAAACCUUCGAUGGAUAGGGGUUCUGAGAGGAAGGUCCCCACAUUGGAACUGAGACAACGGUCCAAACUCCUACGGGAGGCAGCAG